GGGAGGGUAGAGCACGUGCUUAGCAUGCACGAGGUCCUGGGUUCAAUCCCCAGCACUGCCA
rnacentral:tRNA from 1 species